AUUGAACGCUGGCGGCAGGCCUAACACAUGCAAGUCGAGCGGAUGAAGGGAGCUUGCUCCUGGAUUCAGCGGCGGACGGGUGAGUAAUGCCUAGGAAUCUGCCUGGUAGUGGGGGAUAACGUCCGGAAACGGGCGCUAAUACCGCAUACGUCCUGAGGGUGAAAGUGGGGGAUCUUCGGACCUCACGCUAUUAGAUGAGCCUAGGUCGGAUUAGCUAGUUGGUGGGGUAAAGGCCUACCAAGGCGACGAUCCGUAACUGGUCUGAGAGGAUGAUCAGUCACACUGGAACUGAGACACGGUCCAGACUCCUACGGGAGGCAGCAGUGGGGAAUAUUGGACAAUGGGCGAAAGCCUGAUCCAGCCAUGCCGCGUGUGUGAAGAAGGUCUUCGGAUUGUAAAGCACUUUAAGUUGGGAGGAAGGGCAGUAAGUUAAUACCUUGCUGUUUUGACGUUACCAACAGAAUAAGCACCGGCUAACUUCGUGC
rnacentral:rRNA from 1 species